rnacentral:rRNA from 1 species
GACGAACGCUGGCGGCGUGCUUAACACAUGCCAGUCGAACGGAAAGGGCCUGCUUUUGUGUGGUUCUCGAGUGGCGAACGGGUGAGUAACACGGGAGUAACCUGCCCUUGACUGGGUGAUAACUUCAGGAAACUGGGGCUAAUGCCGGAUAGGAGCGCCUGCUGCAUGGGGGGGUUGGAAAGUUUCGGCGGUUGGGGAUGGACGCGCGGCUUAUCAGCUUGGUGGUGGGGUAGUGGCUUACCAAGGCUUUGACGGGUAGCCGGCCGGGGAGGGUGAACGGCCACCUUGCGACUGAGGGACGGCGCAGUGUGGAACGGGAGGCAGCAGUGGGGAGUAUUGCACAGUGGGCGGACGCCUGAUGCAGCAACGCCGCGUGCGGGAUGAAGGCCAUCGGGUUGUAAACCGCUGUAGGCUGAGACGAAGCGUGAGUGACGGUAAUGGGUAAAGAAGCACCGGCUAACUACGUG